rnacentral:rRNA from 1 species
GAUGAACGCUGGCGGCGUGCCUAAUACAUGCAAGUCGAGCGAACGGACGAGGAGCUUGCUCCUCUGACGUUAGCGGCGGACGGGUGAGUAACACGUGGAUAACCUACCUAUAAGACUGGGAUAACUUCGGGAAACCGGAGCUAAUACCGGAUAAUAUAUUGAACCGCAUGGUUCAAUAGUGAAAGACGGUUUUGCUGUCACUUAUAGAUGGAUCCGCGCCGCAUUAGCUAGUUGGUAAGGUAACGGCUUACCAAGGCGACGAUGCGUAGCCGACCUGAGAGGGUGAUCGGCCACACUGGAACUGAGACACGGUCCAGACUCCCACGGGAGGCAGCAGUAGGGAAUCUUCCGCAAUGGGCGAAAGCCUGACGGAGCAACGCCGCGUGAGUGAUGAAGGUCUUCGGAUCGUAAAACUCUGUUAUUAGGGAAGAACAAAUGUGUAAGUAACUAUGCACGUCUUGACGGUACCUAAUCAGAAAGCCACGGCUAACUACGUG